rnacentral:rRNA from 1 species
UCUCAGUUCGGAUUGCAGGCUGCAACCCGCCUGCAUGAAGCCGGAAUCGCUAGUAAUCGCGCAUCAGCCACGGCGCGGUGAAUACGUUCCCGGGCCUUGUACACACCGCCCGUCAAGCCAUGGGAGCCGGGGGUACCUGAAGUGCGUGACCGCAAGGAGCGCCCUAAGGUAAAACCGGUGACUGGGGCUAAGUCGUAACAAGGUACC